GAGUUUCGCACAAAUUCGAAAUGAAAUGGUAUGUCAUAUUAAAGAUUAGCCGCAGGAUACAUUCAAUUUAUAUGCUAUGCCCUGCCAAGCAUAGAUAUAUAUUUUAAAAUUAUAAGUCAGUUAAACAUACAAAAUUGUGUACUCAUGUUUGCCUAAAUCUUACUAGACGAAGGAGGCUGAUGGUACUGCACCAUCGGAUGCAGAAGUUUUUGUCAAAACUCGUAAGCGAAAUCCUGGCCGCAAGUACAAGACUGAUACCAAAAAAAUCAAAGAGAAAGUUGUGAGUAUUUUAUUUUCAGAGUCUUGUACAUUUGUGCAUUUGUCAAUUUAAUUAUCUUUUCAUUUUAAGUAUAUUGUCCAUGUGUAUCUUUUUUAGUUUAAAAAGUCACUGUUUCAAUAUUAGCCAAACGACCCCCAUGAUCCAUCUUAACUAGUAAGUACUGGUAGUUUUGCUAUAUGAAAGCGAAAAUCAUAAUAUACAUGUUACUCCUCCAUUUUUCAGUCCUCAUCUAAUUGAAAAUGUACGAAAAUCAGAUUGCAUUAAGAGUCUGAACAUUAUGUUAAAAAUAAAUAGGCCUAAUAUUGCUCAUUAUCUUCUACAUUAUUUGUACAGUUUAUUGCUAUAAAUAUUUAUCUUUUUUACUUUAAGUCACUUUUUUUUAAUUUAAGCCAAACGACCCAUCAACUUGUUUAAUAUAUCGCAGUUUCAUGUGUAUUCAUUUAAAGUAUAUUUUCCAUGUGCAUUUCUGUUUUGUAGGACGAUAUCGAAAAACAAAUCAAAAUAUCAGGAGAUGGCACUGAUGAGCUACUACUUUCUGGUGGCAAGAAGCAUGGGAAGACUUGGCUUUACGG
rnacentral:lncRNA from 1 species